GAAAGUUUAAUUGAACAUACCAAUGAUCUGCCUAGCCUUAUGAAGUUUUAUUCAGAAAUGCUUUGACCAUCGAAACCUUUAUCGAGCCCACACCCCCAAAAAACUCCACUAAAGUACCUUCUUAGUAAUCCAUUAUGUUUUUUAAUCAGCAGUGUGAUGUAAUAUUCAAAGCAUGAUUUUUUUUAAUGUAGUCAAAAUGUAGUUUAUGUGAUAUACUAAGAUUAGUUUUUUUGUAAUAUGUAUAAAAAAUACAUAAUAAAAACUGAAUCUAAACAUUACUUAUUAAGGAUAUACCCUCAGAUAACCCUUAAGUUUAGUAUGAACAACACAAUCUUUCUAAGGUCAAAGGUGUUUAGGGUUCCGUACUGAAAGGGUUACCCGAGACUCGGGACCCGCUAAAACUUUAUUGUCUACUAGCUCGUGCCAGCGGUUUCACCCGCAUCCCGUGGGAACCUCGGCACGAACCCGGAUAAAAAGUAGCCUAUAGCCUUCCUCGAUAAAUGGGCUAUCUAAUACUGAAAGAUUUUUCAAAUCGGAACAGUAGUUCCCGAGAAUAGCGCGUUCAAACAAACAAACUCUUCAACUUUAUAAUAUUAGUAUAGAUUUGUCCGUCCGUCCGUUCAUCUGUCACCAGAUUCUACUCAUGAACCGUCAUAUUUUUGUUGCUGCUAUAACAAAAAAAAAGCUGAAAUAAGGAUAAAAUAAAUAUUUUAGGGGGCUCCCUCCGAUGCCACACACAGACGUGAUAUGUUUGCUCGUUUUAUAGACAUUAAAAUAAUGAUACGGAACACUCCGUGUUCGAGUCCGACUCGUAUUUGGCCGGUUUGUUGAUAAUAUUAUGAGUAGAUAAAUCUAUAUAAACCGCCACAGACGUAUAUCCAUAUCAUUUGAGUUAUAAGUCAAAGUGUGUAAACAUGAAAGUGUAUUUGUUGCUCUGUUUGAUGCUUGUUGCACUUGCAUCGACGGCUUUCGCUGGUCCAAUUAGAACAGGUGUAUGUCCAACUGGGUAUAUACGAGUUGAUAAUCACUGCCUUCCGGAAGAUGAUGCCGAUGAUAUAUAAUAUUCAAGAUGUCAAAUAGUUCUGAAAGCAAGAUUUUUAAUUGAAAUACAUUUAGAACCCA